rnacentral:rRNA from 1 species
GAGUUUGAUCCUGGCUCAGAUUGAACGCUGGCGGCAUGCUUUACACAUGCAAGUCGAACGGUAACGCGGACUUCGGUCUGGCGACGAGUGGCGAACGGGUGAGUAAUGCAUCGGAACGUAUCCAUUUGUGGGGGAUAGCCCGGCGAAAGCCGGAUUAAUACCGCAUAAUCUCCGAGGAGGAAAGUGGGGGACCUUCGGGCCUUACGCUGAUGGAGCGGCUGAUGUCGGAUUAGCUUGUUGGUAGGGUAAAGGCCUACCAAGGCGACGAUCCGUAGCUGGUCUGAGAGGACGACCAGCCACACUGGAACUGAGACACGGUCCAGACUCCUACGGGAGGCAGCAGUGGGGAAUUUUGGACAAUGGGGGCAACCCUGAUCCAGCAAUACCGCGUGCAGGAAGAAGGCCUUCGGGUUGUAAACCGCUUUCAGACGGAAAGAAACAGUACAAGCUAAUACCUUGUACGAAUGACGGUACCGUCAGAAGAAGCACCGGCUAACUACGUGCCAGCAGCCGCGGUAAUACGUAGGGUGCGAGCGUUAAUCGGAAUUACUGGGCGUAAAGAGUGCGCAGGCGGCUCUCUAAGACAGGUGUGAAAUCCCCGGGCUUAACCUGGGAAUGGCGCUUGUGACUGGAGAGCUAGAGUGUGGCAGAGGGGAAUGGAAUUCCUGGUGUAGCAGUGAAAU